GACGAACGCUGGCGGCGUGCUUAACACAUGCAAGUCGAACGGAAAGGCCCUGCUUUUGUGGGGUGCUCGAGUGGCGAACGGGUGAGUAACACGUGAGUAACCUGCCCUUGACUUUGGGAUAACUUCAGGAAACUGGGGCUAAUACCGGAUAGGAGCUCCUGCUGCAUGGUGGGGGUUGGAAAGUUUCGGCGGUUGGGGAUGGACUCGCGGCUUAUCAGCUUGUUGGUGGGGUAGUGGCUUACCAAGGCUUUGACGGGUAGCCGGCCUGAGAGGGUGACCGGCCACAUUGGGACUGAGAUACGGCCCAGACUCCUACGGGAGGCGGCAGUGGGGAAUAUUGCACAAUGGGCGGAAGCCUGAUGCAGCAACGCCGCGUGCGGGAUGACGGCCUUCGGGUUGUAAACCGCUUUCGCCUGUGACGAAGCGUGAGUGACGGUAAUGGGUAAAGAAGCACCGGCUAACUACGUGCCAGCAUCCGCGGUGAUACGUAGGGUGCGAGCGUUGUCCGGAUUUAUUGGGCGUAAAGGGCUCGUAGGUGGUUGAUCGCGUCGGAAGUGUAAUCUUGGGGCUUAACCCUGAGCGUGCUUUCGAUACGGGUUGACUUGAGGAGGGUAGGGGAGAAUGGAAUUCCUGGUGGAGCGGUGGAAUGCGCAGAUAUCAGGAGGAACACCAGUGGCGAAGGCGGUUCUCUGGGCCUUUCCUGACGCUGAGGAGCGAAAGCGUGGGGAGCGAACAGGCUUAGAUACCCUGGUAGUCCACGCUGUAAACGGUGGGUACUAGGUGUGGGGUCCAUUCCACGGGUUCCGUGCCGUAGCUAACGCUUUAAGUACCCCGCCUGGGGAGUACGGCCGCAAGGCUAAAACUCAAAGGAAUUGACGGGGCCCCGCACAAGCGGCGGAGCAUGCGGAUUAAUUCGAUGCAACGCGUAGAACCUUACCUGGGUUUGACUUGGAUCGGGAGUGCUCAGAGAUGGGUGUGCCUCUUUUGGGGUCGGUUCACAGGUGGUGCAUGGCUGUCGUCAGCUCGUGUCGUGAGAUGUUGGGUUAAGUCCCGCAACGAGCGCAACCCUUGUUCACUGUUGCCAGCACGUUAUGGUGGGGACUCAGUGGAGACCGCCGGGGUCAACUCGGAGGAAGGUGGGGAUGACGUCAAGUCAUCAUGCCCCUUAUGUCCAGGGCUUCACGCAUGCUACAAUGGCUGGUACAGAGAGUGGCGAGCCUGUGAGGGUGAGCGAAUCUCGGAAAGUCGGUCUCAGUUCGGAUUGGGGUCUGCAACUCGACCUCAUGAAGUCGGAGUCGCUAGUAAUCGCAGAUCAGCAACGCUGCGGCGAAUACGUUCCCGGGGCU
rnacentral:rRNA from 1 species